rfam:Osedax symbiont Rs1 5221_159, whole genome shotgun sequence.
GGGAGUGUAGCUCAGCUGGGAGAGCGUCGCCCUUACAAGGCGAAUGUCGGGAGUUCGAACCUCUCCACUCCCA